UACGGGGGGGGCAAGCGUUAUUCGGAAUUAUUGGGCGUAAAGGGCGCGUAGGCGGCCUGGCAAGUGGAAGGUGAAAUCCCUCGGCUUAACCGAGGAACUGCCCUCCAAACUGCUUGGCUUGAGACCGGGAGAGGUGAGUGGAAUUCCCAGUGUAGCGGUGAAAUGCGUAGAUAUUGGGAGGAACACCAGUGGCGAAGGCGGCUCACUGGACCGGUACUGACGCUGAGGCGCGAAAGCGUGGGGAGCAAACGGG
rnacentral:rRNA from 1 species